ACUCUCUGGUUCCCUUUUCCAUUGGAUGACAAUGCCAGUUUUGGUGUUGGUAAGGGAGGAAGAACAUACUGAAGCUGGCGUCACAGCACUACAGAAUGGUAUAGAGCAUAGAGCAAGAUUCACACAGGC
rnacentral:snoRNA from 1 species